rnacentral:rRNA from 1 species
AGUGAACGCUGGCGGUAGGCCUAACACAUGCAAGUCGAACGGCAGCACAGUAAGAGCUUGCUCUUACGGGUGGCGAGUGGCGGACGGGUGAGGAAUACAUCGGAAUCUACUUUUUCGUGGGGGAUAACGUAGGGAAACUUACGCUAAUACCGCAUACGACCUACGGGUGAAAGCAGGGGAUCUUCGGACCUUGCGCGAUUGAAUGAGCCGAUGUCGGAUUAGCUAGUUGGCGGGGUAAAGGCCCACCAAGGCGACGAUCCGUAGCUGGUCUGAGAGGAUGAUCAGACACACUGGAACUGAGACACGGUACAGACUCCUACGGGAGGCAGCAGUGGGGAAUAUUGGACAAUGGGCGCAAGCCUGAUCCAGCCAUACCGCGUGGGUGAAGAAGGCCUUCGGGUUGUAAAGCCCUUUUGUUGGGAAAGAAAAGCAGCAGGUUAAUACCCCGCUGUUCUGACGGUACCCAAAGAAUAAGCACCGGCUAACUUCGUG